ACUGCCACAACACAAAGGAAUAGUCUGUGACUAUUCUUUGAAAGGAAGAGAGCUGAUACCCACCGGUUUUACUGCACCGUGUCAAAGACAUCGCCAGUUUAGCAGUGAUCCAUAGCCAAUGCACCGAAGACCUUGAGAAUAACUUCCUCUGCUACAGUCACAUACAUCAGAUUUAAUUUUCAAAUAUCAAGGACACAGGGAAAGACAGACUAUAAAGAGGAAAGACACACUAGGCAGCAGGCGGCUUGCAUUCUUGGUCAACUCUACCUUCAGCAGAGGUAAAAAACUGCACUUACCCCUAAUGCUAGAUUUAACCAGACAAUGUGUUCAUAAAACAUACUUUAGAUGUUUGGAUUUUUCUGUAUUUAUAUUGUUAAAUUUGGCUAAUAUAUUAAGAUUUAUGUAGAGCUUAGGGACGUGGUUCAGUGGUAGACUUGGCAGUGCUAGGUUAAAGGUUGGACUAGAUGGUCUUAGAGGUCUUUUCCAACCUAAAUGAUUCUAUGAUUCCAUGUGAGUUAGCACUAAUCAAAAGGUACUUUUUCCCUUUGUAAUAGUUUACAUUUAGAAAGUUGUGAGUUUGAUGGGGAAAAAAACACUUUGGAAUUAUCAGUAGAAAGUGGAGUAGCAAAUAUCUUUACAAUUUAGUGUGCACAUUGUUAUUUUGGAAAUUGAUAAUUAUAUAUUAAUUUGUUAAUAUAUUAAAUUAUUUAUUUAUAUCAAACUGGUUUAAUAUAAAAAUAAUCAUUUAUGUUAUUUGUCUCAAAUGAAGCAUGAACUUCAUGUGUAUCAAUUUAAACUCUUCAUUUAGUCAGUCUGUUUCAUUAAAAAAAUAUACAUCUGUGGGAUGGUAGAUAAUCAUUCUAAUUAUAACCAGGAGGCUGUCAGCUCUGAACUUCCAGACAGGCUCUUGUUACUGUGCAGAGCCCAGCUCCUGAAAAGAGAAUGGUAGCAGUGUAUAAGUAUGAAAAGUGACAGAGGAAAAAACUUUAGCAUUUUUUAUGGAUUAUUAUUUAUAGGAGUAGAACUCUUGCUUAGGCUUUUUCAUGAAACUGGAAAAAGGUAAAACAAAUUAUUAUUUUUUUUUUAAGUUGUGUGUCUAGACUAGUGUUUGCUUAUGUGUUAAAUGUAUUUUGUGUGUUACUGCUAUUGCAAUAUAAGUAAUUACCCUGCUGUUCCUGAAGUGCAUAACUUUCUAUAGUUAUUGCUGCUGGCAUAGUAUAAUAGCUCAAAUUGUAGCACUGUAUAAUCUGCAUUGUGGCCUUUAGCAGCCAGAUGCCUGCAGCCUGUGUCACUACAUCCACCUGCUUUCCCACCAUCCACCACUUGCUUAUUCUAGGUUCUAUAAUGGAUUUGAAUGGAUUUGAACAUGAAGUAUUCAAAGUGUUGCACUAAGCAAAACAUUUUGUAAUACAGAGUUUUGCAUUUUGAACGUUGUAGCUGCAGUAUUAAGGAGAAGCACCAAUUGAUAGAGAUCACUAAGCCAUACCCUUAGCUGGAACAAAUAGAUACAGAACAGUAUUAGCGAAUCUGUAAUAAUAUCUACUGGUGGACAUUCAGUCCUCAUCAAAAGUGUUCUACAUAAUAACCUGGAAUUACAGGUUCCUGCUCAAAUGUCAGGAACGGGAACUGGGAGAUUGGACAUUAUUACCACAUUGUAAAAUAUUGGUAUCAUGCACACAAUAGUAUUAAGACCCAGAAUUAAGAGCCUUGUGUGUAUAAAUACACCUUGGCUUAAUUGGGCACUUUUUUUUACCUCAAGUUAUGGCUUUUGC
rnacentral:lncRNA from 1 species